rnacentral:tRNA from 1 species
GCCUGGGUGGCUCAGUCAGUUAAGCGUCUGACUUCGGCUCAGGUCAUGAUCUCACAGUUCGUGGGUUCAAGCCCCUCAUGAGGCU